UACGGAGGGGGCGAGCGUUAUUCGGAAUUACUGGGCGUAAAGGGCGCGUAGGCGGCGCGGUAAGUCACUUGUGAAAUCUCCGGGCUUAACUCGGAACGGUCAAGUGAAACUGCCAUGCUAGAGUGCAGAAGGGGCAAUCGGAAUUCUUGGUGUAGCGGUGAAAUGCGUAGAUAUCAAGAGGAACACCUGAGGUGAAGACGGGUUGCUGGGCUGACACUGACGCUGAGGCGCGAAAGCCAGGGGAGCAAACGGG
rnacentral:rRNA from 1 species